rnacentral:lncRNA from 1 species
UCCCCCCCAUCUUGACCGACCCCUGCCUUCGCCACCAAAAACGGACUCCGCUGGCUUCUGCUGGCCUGUCUCGCUCAAAGCACUCUACUGAGUACGAAAGCUCAAGUAACUCUCAUCUCCUGCCUGGUCCGCGCCAUUAUCCCCUUGAUGAGGAGCGUGAACGCGCAGCUGCACCCGGACACAGCGGCCACCUGAAUAACUAUUGCUCUCGAUUAAUGAUUGCUCCGAGAGGGCUGCCCUACCAUUUCUCACUUCUUUUCGUCUUUGAAUUGUUCUUAAGUGGCUUAACAGACUACAUCCGUUAACUUCUCGGAAGCCCUUUUGUAAAGUCAUUCUGAUCGUGCUGUUUGAUUCCGUUGCUUAGGUAAUAAGCACGCCUGGGUGGUUCUUGCCCCCUACUGGCUGACCGUCCCGCAUGUGAGCCAACCGAGAGCAGUUAAGGUUAAAGUUGGUGUACUCCAAGAAAAAGUAUGGAAGGGGAAAGGGGCAUAGCGAGGAUAAUUAAGGCUCUUCCAACCUAGCGUUUGUACACAUAUAUAGAUGUAUUAUACGUGUGUUCAUACAUACGCAAUAUAAACAUGUCAAAUGGGCAGUAUCUUUAAGCUAUCACUUGUCUUUUUAAUAUAUUUUUAGUUAACACAGUAACUCAUAUUUAUGGGUACAGUGUGACAUUUCAAUACAUGUAUACUUUGGGGUGUCAUUCCCAGAAUAUCUUGCGGGUUUUUUUGUUUUUGUUUUUGUUUUGGUACCGGGGAUCGAACUCGGGUCUUUGCGCUUGCGCAGCAGGCGGCAAAACCACUGAGCUACAUCCCCGGCCCUGCUUCCCAGAAUAUCUUAUCGGGUGUGUGGGUUUGUGUGUGAAUGUGUGUGUGUGUGUGUGUGUGUGUGUGUGUAUAUUUUUUUUUUUCUUUUUUUUUUUUUCCGACCGGGGACCAAACUCGGGACCUUUCGAGGCAGGUGCGGUACCACUGAGCUAAAUCACCGGCCCUCAGACCAUCUUAUUUUGAUACAAAGUCUCGCUCAGACUGGCCUCAAAUUUGAGAUCCUCCCUCAGCCUUCUAAGUAGCUGGGAUUCCGG